rnacentral:rRNA from 1 species
AUGGCAGAAUGCUUCGAUAAGGUGCUCAAGGGUGUACGUGCAUUACCUGUGAUGGCAAUAGUUCAAUACACAUUUGAUAAGAUGAAUGGAUACUUUUUGAAGUUAUCAAUGGAGACGGAUAAGCAGAUUGCUGGUGAGAACAAGGAUAAGCACAAGUACUAUUUCCCACCAAAGGUUGAAGAAUGGUUGGACUUUCAAUCAUGAAAGGCAGACUCCCAAGAAGCUGUACUAUAUGACGACAACGAGUGGAAGUAUGAGGUGAAAGAGCCUGGAGGAACCACAAAUGAUGGCCACCAACACGGAGGCCGUGCUUUCAAGGUCUCCCUAACACGAUGUGAUUGCAGCUGCAUGAGGCCAUCGUUGCUUCAUCUCCCAUGCUCGCACUUGUUAAAUGCAGCCCGUGUUAGGAAUGUGGACGUCAAUCACCCUCUUACCGUGAGGGAGUCCGAGUUCUCAAUCAUGACAGUAAAGAAUACAUGGGCUCCCCGGUUUCAGGCAUACUUGGACCAAUCAUAAUGGCUAGAGUAUCAUGGAGUUCAACUAUGGCCGGACCCGGAAUUGAAGGUCGUUAGACGGGGAAGACGUAAGACAAAGCGUCUUAGAUGUGACAUGGACGGAUGGGGCCGUGGUGGCAGUGGAGAAUACGGCACCGGCUAA